rnacentral:rRNA from 1 species
CCUACGGGUGGCAGCAGUGGGGAAUAUUGCGCAAUGGGCGAAAGCCUGACGCAGCGACGCCGCGUGAGGGAUGAAGGUCUUCGGAUCGUACACCUCUGUCAGCAGGGAAGAACGGUCACUGUGCUAAUCAGCAGUGAAUUGACGGUACCUGCAAAGGAAGCACCGGCUAACUCCGUGCCAGCAGCCGCGGUAAUACGGAGGGUGCGAGGGUUAAUCGGAAUUACUGGGCGUAAAGCGCUCGUAGGCGGUAUGUCAAGUCAAGGGUGAAAUCCCCGGGCUCAACGGGGGAACGGCAUUUGAAACGGGGAAACUGGAGUGUGUGAGAGGAGAGUGGAAUUCCAGGUGUAGGAGUGAAAUCCGUAGAUAUCUGGAGGAACAUCAGUGGCGAAGGCGACUAUCUGGCACAUAACUGACGCUGAGGAGCGAAAGCGUGGGUAGCAAACAGGAUUAGAUACCCGAGUAGUC